rnacentral:misc_RNA from 1 species
GAUUGUGCCCCGCGGCGC